UACGGAGGGUGCAAGCGUUGUUCGGAAUUACUGGGCGUAAAGCGUACGUAGGCGGCGAUUUAAGUCAAAUGUUAAAGCCCGAGGCUCAACCUCGUGGAUGCCUUUGAUACUGGAUUGCUAGAGGGUGAUAGAGGAAAGUGGAAUUCCGAGUGUAGCGGUGAAAUGCGUAGAUAUUCGGAGGAACAUCAGUAGCGAAGGCG
rnacentral:rRNA from 1 species